AAUUGUUCGCAAUGGGCGCAAGCCUGACGACGCAACGCCGCGUGGAGGACGAAGAUCUUCGGGUCGUAAACUCCUUUCGAUCGGGAAGAACGCCUCUGGUGUGAAUAUCACCGGAGGGUGACGGUACCGAGAGAAGAAGCCCCGGCUAACUUCGUGCCAGCAGCCGCGGUAAUACGAGGGGGGCAAGUGUUGUUCGGAAUCACUGGGCGUAAAGGGAGCGUAGGCGGAUGUUUAAGUCGGGUGUUUAAAACCGGGGCCCAACCCCGGAGCGGCACCCGAAACUGGGCAUCUUGAAUAGGUCAGAGGCUGGUGGAAUUGGAGGUGUAGCGGUGGAAUGCGUAGAGAUCUCCAAGAACACCUAUUGCGAAGGCAGCCAGCUGGGACCAUAUUGACGCUGAGGCUCGAAAGCAUGGGGAGCAAAC
rnacentral:rRNA from 1 species